CCUACGGGUGGCAGCAGUGAGGAAUAUUGGUCAAUGGACGCAAGUCUGAACCAGCCAAGCAGCGUGCAGGAAGACGGCUCUAUGAGUUGUAAACUGCUUUUGUACGAGGGUAAACGCAGAUACGCGUAUCUGUCUGAAAGUAUCGUAUGAAUAAGGAUCGGCUAACUCCGUGCCAGCAGCCGCGGUAAUACGGAGGAUUCAAGCGUUAUCCGGAUUUAUUGGGUUUAAAGGGUGCGUAGUUGGUCUGUUAAGUUAGUGGUGAAAUCCCGCGGCUCAACUUCGGAAUUGCCUCUGAUACUGGUCGGCUAGAGAGUAGUUGCGGUAGGCGGAAUGUAUGGUGUAGCGGUGAAAUGCUUAGAGAUCAUACAGAACACCGAUUGCGAAGGCAGCUUACCAAGCUACUACUGACGUUGAGGCACGAAAGCGUGGGUAGCAAACAGGAUUAGAUACCCGUGUAGUC
rnacentral:rRNA from 1 species